GAUGAUGGAUCAGUAAAAAUAAAAGAUGUUGUUGGGAAAUUGGCUAAGACUCCACAAGUUACUAGACCUCAAGAAUUAGAAAAUGCAUGGAAUGUUGUCAACAAUGUCAGUGAUGGGAGAAUCAGGAAGUCUAAAUUAUUCUCAACCCUGGAGAGCUGGGGAUUCGAAUUAUCUGAUGAUAAGCUUAAAGAAGCUGUGAAAUCUUUGGAUUCUAAUGAACCAGAACAUAUAGUCCUACAGGAUCUUAUCAAGAAAUAUACUCAUGCCAAAAGAUUAAGUAAGGACAAAA